UACGUAGGGUGCAAGCGUUGUCCGGAAUUAUUGGGCGUAAAGAGCUCGUAGGCGGUCUGUCACGUCGGCUGUGAAAUCCCGAGGCUCAACCUCGGGUCUGCAGUCGAUACGGGCAAACUAGAGUAUUGCAGGGGAGACUGGAAUUCCUGGUGUAGCGGUGAAAUGCGCAGAUAUCAGGAGGAACACCGGUGGCGAAGGCGGGUCUCUGGGCCGUAACUGACGCUGAGGAGCGAAAGCAUGGGGAGCGAACAGG
rnacentral:rRNA from 1 species